rnacentral:rRNA from 1 species
GAAUGGACGGAUGGCGAAGCAGAUCUCUGGGCCGUAACUGACGCUGAGGAGCGAAAGGGUGGGGAGCAAACAGGCUUAGAUACCCUGGUAGUCCACCCCGUAAACGUUGGGAACUAGUUGUGGGGUCCAUUCCACGGAUUCCGUGACGCAGCUAACGCAUUAAGUUCCCCGCCUGGGGAGUACGGCCGCAAGGCUAAAACUCAAAGGAAUUGACGGGGACCCGCACAAGCGGCGGAGCAUGCGGAUUAAUUCGAUGCAACGCGAAGAACCUUACCAAGGCUUGACAUAUAGAGGAAACGUCUGGAAACAGUCGCCCCGCAAGGUCUCUAUACAGGUGGUGCAUGGUUGUCGUCAGCUCGUGUCGUGAGAUGUUGGGUUAAGUCCCGCAACGAGCGCAACCCUCGUUCUAUGUUGCCAGCACGUAAUGGUGGGAACUCAUGGGAUACUGCCGGGGUCAACUCGGAGGAAGGUGGGGAUGACGUCAAAUCAUCAUGCCCCUUAUGUCUUGGGCUUCACGCAUGCUACAAUGGCCGGUACAAAGGGCUGCAAUACCGUGAGGUGGAGCGAAUCCCAAAAAGCCGGUCCCAGUUCGGAUUGAGGUCUGCAACUCGACCUCAUGAAGUCGGAGUCGCUAGUAAUCGCAGAUCAGCAACGCUGCGGUGAAUACGUUCCCGGGUCUUGUACACACCGCCCGUCAAGUCAUGAAAGUCGGUAACACCUGAAGCCGGUGGCCCAACCCCUUGUGGAGGGAGCCGUCGAAGGUGGGAUCGGUAAUUAGGA